rnacentral:tRNA from 1 species
UUGAUAACCUGGGAUCAGGGUUUGCGUUUCGGCCGCAAAUUGGGAGAAAUUAGUCUUCUGUCAAAG